AUUGAACGCUGGCGGCAUGCCUUACACAUGCAAGUCGAACGGCAGCACGGGUGCUUGCACCUGGUGGCGAGUGGCGAACGGGUGAGUAAUACAUCGGAACAUGUCCUGUAGUGGGGGAUAGCCCGGCGAAAGCCGGAUUAAUACCGCAUACGAUCUACGGAUGAAAGCGGGGGACCUUCGGGCCUCGCGCUGUAGGGUUGGCCGAUGGCUGAUUUGCUAGUUGGUGGGGUAAAGGCCUACCAAGGCGACGAUCAGUAGCUGGUCUGAGAGGACGACCAGCCACACUGGGACUGAGACACGGCCCAGACUCCUACGGGAGGCAGCAGUGGGGAAUGUUGGACAAUGGGCGAAAGCCUGAUCCAGCAAUGCCGCGUGUGUGAAGAAGGCCUUCGGGUUGUAAAGCACUUUUGUCCGGAAAGAAAUCCUUGGCUCUAAUACAGUCGGGGGAUGACGGUACCGGAAGAAUAAGCACCGGCUAACUACGUG
rnacentral:rRNA from 1 species